UACGUAGGGUGCAAGCGUUGUCCGGAAUUAUUGGGCGUAAAGAGCUCGUAGGCGGUUUGUCGCGUCUGCUGUGAAAACUCGGGGCUUAACUCCGGGCCUGCAGUGGGUACGGGCAGACUAGAGUGCGGUAGGGGAGACUGGAAUUCCUGGUGUAGCGGUGAAAUGCGCAGAUAUCAGGAGGAACACCGGUGGCGAAGGCGGGUCUCUGGACAGUUCCUGACGCUGAGGCACGAAGGUCAGGGGAGCAAACAGG
rnacentral:rRNA from 1 species